ACAGGGAGUAGAGACAAAAAGCAAGAGAAAUCAAUCGAGCUAAGCAUUCCUAUGACAUGUGUUGAUCAUAUUGUCUUCAUUGAUCCAAAACAUCUUGACUGCUUGUGACUGGCUGGAUGCCAACAAAGACUGACUUGUUGGGGCAGUACUCCAGCCAAGAAUUCUGGAAAUGGACCAGGAUAAAGUUACAUACACAAUUGAAAAAUUAGAACAAAGGGGAGAUGAUGAAGAUACUGAAGAAGUCAUGUCCACCUUGUUAUUUAAUUUUGAAUGCAUGAAGGACAUGAACUUUUUUCUUGAUGAGAUAUGGGGUAAAAAAUAAAUAUUCCCAUCAGUUGCUGCUGUUCGACAAAUUAGGUUGUUGUGUGUUUUUUUUUUUCAGCCUUCAAAAUUUCCAAGGAACUACAUGUGGCAGAAAGCCUACAGUGAUGUCAUUUUGUUCAGUGGAUUUGAUCAGUGAUUCACUAUAAAGAAAAGUGGGGAUGGACUGGCUUUCUUACCUGGUUCAAUAGUUCCUUGUCUACUGAAAUGACCAAUGUAAUGGAUGGAGGACACGGAUGGAUGUCCUAACUGGGAUUGUGUGCUUUAUUUCUUAAAAAUAAAUUCCUAUUUGAACCUGGA